UGGAGGCUGUAGAAAUCUGGAGAGGUUUCCUCAAUGAAUCAUCAACAAGAAAAUGAUAGAAGAAGAAGAUAGAAGAAAGGGGGAGAAUGGAAGUUGUUAGGUCAAACAAGAAGAAAAAGAGUAAACAAGAAGAACUCUUUAAUUGACACUCAAAAUUAUAACAUUCAACUUAAUCAAUCAUUACACAUUAACCUAUACUUAUACUUGAUAUUAUGGGUACAUUUAUAAAAUACCCCUUAUAGUAUUUUAACUCUUUACAUUCCCCCGCAAAUUGACAACUCCAGAAUGCAAUCCUGAGUUGUGAAUUUGAACAUGAGUAUGAUCAUCAGCUUGUCUGUCCACCUCCUUAGCAGCCUUGUGAACUAACUCAGCUAUGAAUUAAUUGAACUAACAGGGGGGGCGAAAAACCCAGCUGGGAUUCUUAUUUUUGCUCCUCUUUCUUUCAUUUUUACUGGGAAAACCCUCCUGUUAUGCCAAUUAAGACCCUGAAAGAAAGAACAAACAAAAAAACUCGCUGCUCAUUCUCAAAGCUCCUGCUGCUCUAGAUUUCACAUUUUCUGCUCCAGAUUAAAUUUCCAGCUAUUUGGGCAUGACCUAUCUUAGUAUGACCUGCAACCACACAAACAUACAUCCACAGUAGCCAUUCCCACAAACCAAACCAGAAAAAUAUAGACCAUUCCUUAACAAACAGACAAAAUAUUUUUAGAAUAUAUUUCAGAUUAUCACCCUGCAAUUUUCAACAUCAUAUUUAUGUAACAUUUCCUAAUAUGAAUACAAGUAUUACUAUAAGAACAGAAAUCAGAAAUACAAC
rnacentral:lncRNA from 1 species